rnacentral:rRNA from 1 species
AUGCGUGGCCUUGCCGAUGAGCUGGCGGCCGCCGGCAAGCCCCUGCAGGACGACGAACUCAUCAACUACAUUCUCCAUGGCCUCGACAUGGCGUACCAGCCCUUGGUCUCCGCCCUCGACGUCCGCACCACCCCGGUCUCCCUCGACGAGCUCUUCGCUAUGUGGAAUAACUUCAACCAGCGGGUGGCCCUGUACCAGGGGGCGGGCGGCUUCAAAUCUUCUGCCAACGCCGCUACCCGUGGCCGUGGCGGCUACUCCUCUCGCCACCGUGGUCCUCCUCGCUCCAAGGGUAGGCCUGGCGGUGGCGGUGGCGGCAACACCAAUGGCUCCAACUCCCGCAGCAGCCGCCCCUCCUCCAACAACACCAGGGGUCGCCGCGGUGGGAACAUCAAGUCGCGCCCGGAUGCCGUGCGUUGCCAGAUAUGUGGCAAGCUCGGGCACUCGGCAAAAGACUGCUGGUACCGUUUUGAAGAAGAUGAGGCGUCGUCUGAAGAUGAGGAAAAAGUUGCUGCCGCUGCUGAUGGUGCCUACGGCAUCGACACGAACUGGUACCUUGACAGCGGUGCAACCAACCAUCUCACGGGUGAACUUAAGAAAGUAACACUCCGUGAAAAGUACCCCGACAAGGACCAAAUCCACACCGCAAGUGAGGCAGGCCACGAGGAAAAUUCUAUAUCGAGGUAG